rnacentral:lncRNA from 1 species
AUAACUCCCAUAUUUAAAUAGAGAUUAUAACACACAUGUUCAUUGUAUUUAGACAACGAAUCAUGUGGUUAUAUCAACCGGAUCGAACGCUCCAUGGGCGCAUCGAUUUAGAUCCAAUAACCAACAGUAUAAUAAUAUUACAACUUCUUGUCUUAGACGAUACCUCCCUGCUCAUUUCUCAAAAUAAUAAAGUUUCAUCUGAAUCCUGAGCUUUGUUCUCUUGUUUAUUUGGUCUUGAAACUCAAGUUCUCUCUUUUCUCACAAACUAGAGACCAACUUUUCCUUGACCUGUGACGCCCCCAAAUUAAAGUCUACACCACCCAAUUCUAGUCUCCAAAAUCAAUUAUUAUAAUACCGUAAAAAUACAGUAACAUUCUUACUUUAAAUUCUCAAUACAAUUAUUGUCUCACUAUUUUAUAAUGUAUUGAGGACUACUAUAGCUACUAACUCAAACCAUCACUCUAUUUUCCUGUUCUCUCCGUUAGACUCAGCUACACUCUUAUUUUCUGAAAGAAAUUAAGAAACAAAAGGAUGAGCACAAAUAACCAAGUAAAGAAUAUCUAAGAUAAUGAAGAAUAAGUUAUUAUUAGCCUUCAACAGUGAUAAAUCAGAUAUUUAAAACAUAUGGUAGAUAAUAUAUGCUUUCAAUAAAUAACUGUAUCGAAAUGAACAAUCCAUUAGAAGAGUCAAAUAGAUCAUGAUGUCUACCGUCUUCUCCAAUAAAAAAAAUUCACCAUCAAGAUUUUAUCAAUUGCAAUAUCAAUGAUCAUGAUCAUGUCAAUCAACAGUUACUGGUCAUAAUCAUGUCAAUCUACAGUUCCUCUUUGCAUCCUGUCCAAAGAAAAUUUUCAUCAUGUAUAAUCAACAAUUUCUAUUUGCACCCAAACCAAAAAAAAAACUUUCGCCACAUAUAUUUGCCACACAUGCUAAAGACACUCAACAAUCAUAUUAUCGUUGCACCCAAACCAAAGAUAUUCACAACAUAGUAUUGAUGAUUAGUACAAAUAACAAUAAUAUCAAUACUAUGAAUGAUGGACAUAAAUAAUUAGAAUAAUAAGAUAAAGAAAAAUAUUAGUGAUUAUUAAUUUAAUUUGUCCAGAGUUCAAUAAUAUCUAAAUUGUCAACAUAAUAUCCAAAUUAUUAAUUCAAGUUCAAGAAUAAUAUAUAAAUUUUACAGUUCAAAUAUAACGAUUAAAAUUUAAUAUGAAGAUUCAAGUUAAAAUAUAUUAGAUGAAGCCCAAACUAUUAAAGGUAUUUUAAUAAUUUCAGAAAUUUUCAUCGUUUAAUAAUAAUUUUUUACUAUAAAUUUAGGUGUAUAAAAAAUAAUGGUAUCUCUUACCUUAUAUAGUAUGAGACUAGAUAUUGACUAUUAUGUAGGAGAUUAACCUGAGCAAUUCUUACACUUUUACUAACGUUAGAAACACUUAAGUAUCCUUACAUUCAAAAGAAAUACUCACAAUAUUGUAGUAAAAGGAUUUUAUGUGCCUCUCGUUGCUCAACUGAGCAACCUAUUUAUAGUAUUUCGGGCACGCCAAGUUUGGAAAUAAAAAUUACUAAAUAAUUGGAGUUGUAAGUCCCAUGGAAAAAAUAAAUGGAGUUGUAAGUCUCAUGGAAAAAAUAAAUAAAGUUACGAGUCCCAUAGAAGAAAAUAAGUUAAACUUGCAACAAAACUCUUUAUGCUAAACUCCUCUAUUUAUAAUAAAAUUUAACCAAUAUCGACCACACAUCAAUUAUCACACUGUAUCUUUAAUCAACACAUUUUCAAUAUUCUAUUCCUCAAUUAUUCAUAAUUCUUAUUAUAUUAUUUAUCUUGUACAUUAUUGAAUUUAAUGUAUUAAUAUCACAUAUAUUAGUGUUCAUCAAAUAACGAGUCUGUCUAACUAUUUAAUAUACGUAACUUUUCACUACUACCCUUGCUACGAUGACAAUUAUUAGCUCAAUAAUAUGAAAUAUUGUGCAAUUGCUACUGUGACAAUAAUUGGUUCAAUAAUAUGAAAAAAUAAUAUACAAUUUGUGAGACCCCAAAUUUUAUGAAUAAUAAUUGGUUUGAAAUAUUUUUUUGAAUAUUAUGGUGUGAAUUUGAUAUAAUGUUAUAGUUGUGGGUAAUAUUUAUAAAUUUUGCAAAAUAAGCAAGUUGUUAUAUAAUAUUCGAUUGGUCGGGGAAUAUUCGUUUUAACAGAGAAUAUUCGUACGAUGGCACAAUCAUUGGAGGACCCCACAAUAGAAUUAUUGUCA